rnacentral:lncRNA from 1 species
UUAUACAACAAACAUUUGAGCUGCGUCGGAUAGAAAUCGACCUUAUGUAAGUUCACGUACGCAUGUACAUGUAUAAAGCCUUUGGUGGAUUUUCGAACAUUUAAAUGUGAAAUAAAAGAUGAACUUCGGCUUAUUUUGUAGGGGUUCAUAUAACAACUAAAUUUUCAAGUAGUCACAGACUUUCAUACAGAUUUUGUCAAUUGUCAACCCGACAUCAAAGUUAACAUAUACAUGUAUUGAUUUUCAUUUGC